AGAAGGUAAACUCCCCCUUGUUUGACAGUCUCUUAGGUGGUAUCAAAGAUGGUGAUAAGGAUCCUAUUGUUGAAAAGAGAAUUUAGUUGAGAUGGGCAGGAGCUGUCGUCGCUGUUGUUCAAGUCUGGGAUUCAGCUGGACCUGAUGGGGUGGCAACAUCAUCUGGAUUCAUCUCUCUGGCCCCAUCUGAUCAGAAGAUCUCUCAGGAUCAGGGGGAUGAAGGCCUGGAGUCCCAGGAAAGGAUGAGGGUGGCAGCCAUGAUGGUAAAGCUUGGUCUUGAUGCAGGUUUAUAAUUGUCAUCAGCAUGCGCAGGAAUGGGGCUUUGGAUCCUAUCAUUAAAACUUUGUUACAUUUUGAGCCGCAGAAGAAACCUGUUCUUCAGAGUGUGGAGAGGAGCUGCCUGCUCCACCCUCCCAGGAGGAGAAGGGGAGCUGUUCUGGGGUGGCCUGUUCUGAGCUCUGUAAUCAAACACUUAGCCAAAGCAACACAGCUUUCAAUUACAAGGAGUAAGAUGACUGGGUCUCAAAGUCCCAGCCCAUGGGCCAUCUGCUGCCCAAGAACCUCCCCACUGCUGCCCGUGGAGGAGAGAUGCAUGCAGCCACGCCACCAGCUCUGUCUGCUGCAGGCACCGCCCCCCGCAGCUCCCAUUGGCUGGGGGAGAGGGACAGGGAUACCAUCAUUAGUUGCCAGGCAGAGCUGGCCAUGGAGGCAGCGUCACUUUUCCCCACAAUGACUAUAAACAUGUCAAAAUACCGAACACAGCUAUCUGAUGCCCACCUUGCUGCAAUCCUGAAGGUUUCAACUGCUCAGUCACUGAGACCAAACAUCAACAAACUGACAGAACUGAAGCAUUGCCAGGUGUCUGGCAAACACUAAAAACUCUCUGGCAAGCGAAGAAUUGUAUAAAGUUGUUUUAUUAUUUCUAAGAAAUUCAAAAUAAACAAUACAAUAUAAACUUUUUCUCUUCUGAGCACCAUCUUCAGUGACCUUAUUGGCUCACUGGGAGGAUUUGAGGACAGGCACUGGCCUAAGGUAAAUUGGGUUUGAGACUCCUGCUGUA